rnacentral:tRNA from 1 species
AAAACUUUAAGUUAAUAAAACUAAUAACCUUCAAAGUUAUAAAUAAAAAAAAUUUUUUAAGUUUUA